CAGAUAUUUGAAGCUGCUCAGACCUUGCAGAGCGUCAGCCCACACUGUGCUGUACUGGCCCCAAAGCCUCUGACGUCAUUCACAGCCGGGGAUCAGAUCAAAGGUCACACGAGUGGGGUUCCCAGGCAUCUGCCUGGAUGGUGCUUGGCCUCUGAAUAAUAAAGAGGAGCUUCUAGAACCACCAGCUCAUUAACGAGCGCUCAUUCAGAAUGGAUGGUGCAACAUACAGUAAUUUAAGUGUCGCAGACAAUGCAGGUUCUCAGCUCUGUACAGAGAGCGGCCUUUGGAUCGUGCGGAAUGAGUAAUUACAGCUAAUAUCCUUUCUGGCUUGUGGAGAACAUCCAAAGAAACAAGGUCGCGGCCAAGGGCCAGGAGCUGGUCCCCGGGAGCCCCGGAGUCAGUGGGGCAGGUGAACUGUUCCCACUCCCUGGGCUCGUUCAUGAAUAAGUCCCUGCCAGCUCCCGCCAGCACCGGGAGGCAGAGAUGCGAGGGCUCGGUCACUGAGAAUCCAGCAAAGGAGCAUCCAGCAAAUGGUGGUCAAGUGCAGAGGUGAGGUCUGCAGCUUCCAGCCAGACCAACUUGCAAACUGAGAGUGAAGUUCAGGAUGCUUCUCCCGUACCCCCCCCCCCCGCCCCCCGCACUGGGGCCUGUGGGAAAGGGUUUCUGUGACCCAGGGGUGCCCCCUCCCAGGGCCCAGCCCUGGCUUUCUCUGAGGUCCACGCUGAGGGUCGGCGAGGCUUCAGGAGGGGAGGUCCUCAAGCGGACAGGGGUCACUGGGAGGGGCUGCAUGGCAGCUGGAGGACUUAGACCCUCGGGGCUCCCUGGAUGAGCCAUGCCUUCGAAUCUGAGCUGUUACAGGCAUGGCUCUUGGUUACCAGCAAUUGAAGCUGACUCUGGGAGAUUUCAGCAGAGAGAGGAAUUUAUCGAAAGGGAAAUGAGGCCUUUUGGGGCCUUGAGGGGAGCCAGACGGCGACUGGGGCACAAAACACGGGGAGGGGAAGUGGAAGGAAGGGACCAACUCUUCGCGGCCACUGCCUGGCCCUGCCCAGGGAUGCAGGGGCCCAACGUGCUUCCCUGCCCUCGGGGACCCUGGAUCCUGGGCUCCAGCACAGACACCCUGGGCGCUGGGGGCCGCUCUCGCCACUUCUUGGUGUCCCUGAUGACCAAGUCCAGGUCUAGGAUUGCUGCGUAUGACUGGUCAAGACCGGCCACAUGCCUGCUAGUAGCUUCGGUGCUGGAACAGGGUCUGUUGUGAAGGAGUAAGUUCCCCUGAAAUGAGACCAGCUCUCCCACACAGGACUGCAUUCAAGUGUCAGAUGUCUGCGCCCACUCCUCAUCACUGUGUGAUCUGUGCAAGCCACCUUCCCAACCUGAACCUGCCUCCUGUGGCCCAGUGGAGACAACAGGAGCACCUCCCUCACAGGCUGUAAUGAUGACGAAACCAGGCACUGCAUUAACGCACUGCACACACACGUGCUGAGUGCCUGCAAUGGGCAAGGUUCAGGGUGGCUCCGUAAUGGUGCAUAUAACAGGACAAGCCCCUCAACAGCGAAAUAGCCUUUGGCCUCCUAGCAGAGAUGAGGAGAGGCAGGCAGUUCCCAAGGAAGCAGGAGGCAGAUUUAGUAAGUUCUGCUGAUGAACUGGAUGUGUGGGAUGAAAGAGAGGAAGGAAACAAGAGACGUCUCCCGUUUCUGGGAGAUUCCAUUGGUAAAGCCACUGGCUCUGUUCUUGGCACACAGUAAGUGCUCAACCAGUAUUCACUGCCAACAUGAUUGCCGGCGCAGUUAUCAUCAAUAUCAUCAUUUCAAUGUUUAUCUCCUGCUGGCCAGCCCACACAGAUAACUUUGAUAAUCAGUAUGACAUAGAGAUUACAGGCUGGGCUCGGCCUAUAUGGGUUCAAAACCUGACUCUGCAUUUCCAGCUGUGUGACCUUGGGCAGACUACAUAACUUCCGUCACUGAUAUUGGUCUUGGCAAUAAUUUUGGGGGGGCAAUAAUAUCAAAAACACAAACAAAAGAGAAACAAAACAAAUGGGAUACAUUAAGCUCAAAAGCUUCCGCAUAGCAACAGAAACUAUUCACAGAAUAAAAAGACAACCUACAGAGUGGAAGAAAAGUUUUGUAAACCAUAUAUUGAAUAAAGGGUUAAUAUUCAACAUAUAUAAAGAGCUCGGUCAACUCAAUAACAACAACAACAAAAUGAACAAUCUGAUUUUAAAAUGAGCAGAUCUAAAUAGACAUUUCUCCAAAGAGGACAUCAAAAUGGCCAACAGACACAAGAAAAGAUGCUCAACAUCACUGACCACCAGGGAAGGGAACGUCACAGCUGCAGUGAGACACCACCACACGCCUAUUAGACGGCUAACCAAAGACUAGAAAUAACAAGUAUUGAUGAGGUGGGGAAAAGAGGCUGCCUGUGCACUGGUGGGAAUGCAAGUUAGCCCAAGCACUAUAGAACACAUAUGGAGGUUCCUCAAAAAAUGAAAAGUAAGACUACUGUAUCUAAUGCACAAUAUAAUGAACACCUACGAUAAUAUUGUGCUAUGAUUACAUAAUGUGAUAGGUAUUGUUCCAUUCACAAGUACAUUACCAUAUAUAAGCGCAUCAAUGUAAUACACUGUGUGCCUUAAACUUAUACAUUGUUACGCAUCAACUUUAUUUAAUUAAAAAAAAUGAAGUGAGUCAAGGUAUAUGCUCUCAGUCGUAUCCGACUCUCUGCGACCCCACGGACUGCAGCCUGCCAGGCUCCUCUGUCCAUGGGAUUCUCCAGGCAAGAACGCUGGCAUGGGUAGCCAUUCCCUUCUCCAGGGGAUCUUUGUGUGCCUGAGAGUCUUGUGCGCCUGGAGUGUCCUACAUUGGAGGCAGAUUUUUCACUGUCUGAGUCACCAGGGAAGCCCAAAUGAUUCCCUCCCCCACAAAAAGAAUUAGCCCUUCUAUACCUCAGUUUCUGCCUCUGUAAAAUAGAGAUGAGAAAAGUAGUUACGUCACAGGGCUGUUAGAAGGAUUAAACGUUCUAUUUCACGAAAAAGCCUUCGGAUGGUGCCCAGAACGCAAGAUCGCUGCACGCACAACCAGCCGUGUCCUCGACUGUCCCGUGUCAGUCACAUCCCGCCCUGCCAUCCAAACUGCUUGUCUGAAAAACGGAUCCUCAAACAUCUGACCCUCUUUUUCCACUUGAGAAUGGAAGAGAGAAAGUAGAUGUCCUCAGCCCACACUGAAAUGAAAUCCUCCCCUGAAUCAUAAACCAGAGCUCUGUGGUGAGUCUGGUGAUUGUGGGUGACUCUGUGGUUCAGGCUGGGGUCACUCUGACCCCGCCAAGGCCUGCUCAUCACCAGCUCCUUCCACAAAUGCUCAGCCCUCCGAGCGGGGAGGGCAUGACCUUCCGGAUGGCCUUGCUUCAGAGCCGGGUGCCAUGGGGUCUCCGCGACGGGAACGACUGUCCUGAGGUUAGACGGGAGACUCAGCCCAGGUCCCCUAGUGUGAGGAGACAGGCUGGACUUCUGCUUUCAGGCCGGGCUGGAAAUAACACAUCAGCACCUUUCCACGUGAUGGUGGGAUGCUCGCAGUUCCUGCGCCUGCUCGAAACGAGAAGUGAAGAAACACAACCACACUCGUGCCAUCACAGCCGGAGUCAGCCAGCAACAACGUUAAAGAAACACAACCACACUCGCGCCAUCACAGCUGGAGUCAGCCAGCAACGACGUUAAAACACGCCAGUGUCCACAGCCACCCCUUCACCUUAAAAAUAUAUAUAUAUUAACAACACCGUCUAGCCAAUGUUGAAUCAUUUUCCAGAAUUAAGUCUUCUAGUUGACCUCAAACACAGCGCAUGAAAUUGGCCCCUGGACUGUGUUCCGGUGACUGUGGGGUCUGAUCUUCAUGUGCCUGAUCUUUGCAUCCCUGGGAUUUGCAUGAGGCGUGGGCCAAGACGAAUGUACACAGGAGUGACAGUUAAUGCGAACACGUGACUCAGCACUGUGGCCGGCAGAUCACUUAUCUGGUGCACCGUACAAUUUACACACAGAGAAACAUACCAGGAAGGCACAGGUCUGCUGAGCUGUCUCAGUGGAACAGGGCGAUCUGAGCUUAGCCAGGCUGGGGCAGGCAGAGGUGCUGGGGUCCCCUUCCAAGUAGACAU
ensembl:lncRNA